AUUGAACGCUGGCGGCAUGCCUUACACAUGCAAGUCGAACGGCAGCACGGGAGCAAUCCUGGUGGCGAGUGGCGAACGGGUGAGUAAUAUAUCGGAACGUGCCCAGUCGUGGGGGAUAACGCAGCGAAAGCUGUGCUAAUACCGCAUACGAUCUACGGAUGAAAGCGGGGGAUCGCAAGACCUCGUGCGAUUGGAGCGGCCGAUAUCAGAUUAGCUAGUUGGUGAGGUAAAGGCUCACCAAGGCGACGAUCUGUAGCUGGUCUGAGAGGACGACCAGCCACACUGGAACUGAGACACGGUCCAGACUCCUACGGGAGGCAGCAGUGGGGAAUUUUGGACAAUGGGCGCAAGCCUGAUCCAGCAAUGCCGCGUGCAGGAUGAAGGCCUUCGGGUUGUAAACUGCUUUUGUACGGAACGAAACGGCGAGCUCUAAUACAGUUUGCUAAUGACGGUACCGUAAGAAUAAGCACCGGCUAACUACGUGCCAGCCGCCGCGGUAAGAC
rnacentral:rRNA from 1 species